GAGUGGGAGAGAUAGCAACUUUACGUUGGUCAGGCAUGGCCACACCAUUUGUUCCAGUUCCCAAGGAGGAGGGGCAGGCGCUGAAGAUGGUUCUUGGAAGAGUGUUCAGGCUAAAGGAACAGCAGGUGCAAAGACCUCAAGCUGAAACCAUGCCUGGCUUGAAGAAUGAACAAACAGGCUUUGGAACAGAUUCACGGUUGGGCAUCAGUUCUUUGAGUUUCUUUUUUGCACUGAGCGCUUCUAGUUGAAUACUGAAAUCCAUCAUCUGGG